rnacentral:rRNA from 1 species
UAGGGAAUCUUCCACAAUGGACGCAAGUCUGAUGGAGCAACGCCGCGUGAGUGAAGAAGGUCUUCGGAUCGUAAAACUCUGUUGUUAGAGAAGAACGUGUGUGAGAGUGGAAAGUUCACACAGUGACGGUAACUUACCAGAAAGGGACGGCUAACUACGUGCCAG